rnacentral:tRNA from 1 species
CAGUUGAUAGUUUAUGAUAAAAUUUUAGUUUUGGAUAUUAAAGAUACACAUGUGUUUGACUGA